rnacentral:misc_RNA from 1 species
GCCCCCUUUCCCCAAUCCAACAGCAUAAAGCAAUGCCUGGGUGGCGAGAACGCCACUUAUUUGACUGGCAACACCUUGGAUGCCCCGCCAAAGUGAGUAAUCCAAGUAAUCAGGGGUAACGCUGAUGGGAAAUCCUUCAGGAAGCAUAAGGCGAAUGAAGAGAGCUUUACAUUGUAGCCAUAAAUUCCCCCCAGCGCUCAACCAUGAUGGUGAUUUAUCAUCAUGUGAUGGUCCUGAUGAUGAUGGAGCAACGACAAAUUCA